UGGGGAAUAUUGCACAAUGGGCGAAAGCCUGAUGCAGCAACGCCGCGUGAGCGAUGAAGGCCUUCGGGUCGUAAAGCUCUGUCCUCAAGGAAGAUAAUGACGGUACUUGAGGAGGAAGCCCCGGCUAACUACGUGCCAGCAGCCGCGGUAAUACGUAGGGGGCUAGCGUUAUCCGGAUUUACUGGGCGUAAAGGGUGCGUAGGCGGUCUUUUAAGUCAGGAGUGAAAGGCUACGGCUCAACCGUAGUAAGCUCUUGAAACUGGAGGACUUGAGUGCAGGAGAGGAGAGUGGAAUUCCUAGUGUAGCGGUGAAAUGCGUAGAUAUUAGGAGGAACACCAGUAGCGAAGGCGGCUCUCUGGACUGUAACUGACGCUGAGGCACGAAAGCGUGGGGAGCAAACAGG
rnacentral:rRNA from 2 species